CCUACCCGUAUUGCAAGCAGCGGGCUCCCAAAUGAAUCGGUAGGUCUUCCGCUCUCCGUCGUCGGAUCCCUUUCUUUGGUUCCUUUUAGGCGCAUUCUCCACGCACGAGGUCCUAAGGGACCAUAGGAGGUUUCGGGGAGGCUGGCCUUUGUGGACGGAUACGCAAGAGUGCCGCACGACUUAGACAAAACCAGCUAAGUUCAUGACAACUAGGUAGAGGAUUAAGAAGGUUCAACGGGUUGGUUAUUGGUUUAACUGCGAAACACUUGAGAGUCUAGAAGGUGUAACUUAACUUGGUCAGAUACCAGAUUCAGAUAAUUUUACUUCUUUUUGACUCUGAAUUAAUGCAAUCUAAGACUGGGAUAUAGGUUUCCGUUGGAAGCAAUGGAAUGAAGAAGAGAAUGCUGAAAGUACUCCAUAUAUCUGACUUUUUAUCUGCGGUCAGAGAAAGGGACCUAGAAAGUCACUUGUCCAAGGGGAAGCAUUAAUCCUAGUCAUGACUUUAGAAGGUUUUGCGGUCUGUGAUGAUUAUGCGGUUGCUAUCGUUGAUCUUCGAGAAGUUGUUAUUGUGGUGAUGGCUGUGAAUACCUUCGAGGUCACCUUAUGAAAUUAGGUAAAGAAGAGAACAGUCUAGAUCACCUUGUUCUCCAGAUAGAAGCCGAGAGAAAGAGCAGACAAUAGGCCUCGGUCUGAUGGCUAUGAUAGGCAGCUUCUUGAUAUCAUUAUCGAUGGGAUGAUGCCAGUCUCCGUAAUCACAGAAUGAAACUGUUGUUGGAAUUUGAAAUUUAGAAAGGACAGCUACUUGCGGCCAUCUAUCGCUUGUCUGUUGGAACGCCGAGCAAUGGAGAGGAUGCCCGAGGACGACGCUUUGGCCAUUGUGGUCGGGUGCCUGCCAUGUGGUGCAGACCUUUCCGGUUCCUCCUGUGCCCCAUGCUGCGCGUCGUGGUAUGGUAUCUUCGUACCUCAACGUACCCUUCAUCCCAUACCCCGCUGCACCAAGCACUGGUUCUGAGGUGGGAGGAGAUAGAUAGCCCACAGGAAAUUAGAGCCAGUGAGAACCGUGUUGGUUGUAAGUUAGGCAGUAUGGUGGUACAUGAUAACUCAGUACUGUUGCACUGUGCAAUCUGAAAGUUUUCUUUUUCCCAGAGCGUUCUUGGACAUUGAGGCUGGGGUGGCAUACGCUAGAUGCCACUGUGACUGGCCCUUGUACCUGCAGGACCUCGUGAAGGUUUGGCACAAGCAAAAUGGAGUUCGUACCCAUCACUUCAGGAUUGCAAGACCACAGCAAGGAUGAGAAGAGGUACCGUCCUAUUACAGUUCUGUGAAAUUUUUUUCUCAUGCCAAAUGCUUUAAAGCAUCUCAACCAAUGCUUUAAGAUCAGCUUAAAGCCAUGGUCAUAUACUGAUGGACUGGAUUCGUCAGUAAAUGAGAGAGAAAAAGAGUCCUGUGGCAAGGUAUGGAAUUCAUUGAUUCCCGGACAGGAGGAGUCACAGGUGUCUGUUUGAGUUGUGUCCAGGAAUGAGGACUGUGGCCGUAAUCUGAUCAGGACCGAAGGUGUCUUUUAAAAACAUUCUAAGAUCUUCCUUGAGUUGCUAUUUGCAA